CAGGUUUUCUCUUUAGUUCAUUCGGAGACUCAUCUGGUUUAUGGGGAAAUUCCAGUAGAAGUAACGUGAAUUAAGAGCUUUAAGUCCUUAGCAUGUGCCUGGUGAUUCCAACGUGGUCAGGCAAGCAGCACAACCACAGGAGCUCCACAGGGUACCACGGGAUCUUGGCUCAGCAACAGCUCUCAUGAGUUCACCUGCUCCUGGCACGGAGAAGAGUUCUGGAAAUCUUGACGCGGCUUGGGAAGACAAUGUGAAA
rnacentral:lncRNA from 1 species